GACGAACGCUGGCGGCGUGCUUAACACAUGCAAGUCGAACGGAAAGGCCCUGCUUUUGUGGGGUGCUCGAGUGGCGAACGGGUGAGUAACACGUGAGUAACCUGCCCUUGACUUUGGGAUAACUUCAGGAAACUGGGGCUAAUACCGGAUAGGAGCUCCUGCUGCAUGGUGGGGGUUGGAAAGUUUCGGCGGUUGGGGAUGGACUCGCGGCUUAUCAGCUUGUUGGUGGGGUAUUGGCUUACCAAGGCUUUGACGGGUAGCCGGCCUGAGAGGGUGACCGGCAACAUUGGGACUGAGAUACGGCCCAGACUCCUACGGGAGGCAGCAGUGGGGAAUAUUGCACAAUGGGCGGAAGCCUGAUGCAGCAACGCCGCGUGCGGGAUGACGGCCUUCGGGUUGUAAACCGCUUUCGCCUGUGACGAAGCGUGAGUGACGGUAAUGGGUAAAGAAGCACCGGCUAACUACGUG
rnacentral:rRNA from 1 species